CACUGUGGGGAAAAAAAAAAAUCCAUUAAACCAGGAGUCACCUUGCCCCAGAUCCCAGCCAGGUUGGAAGGUGCACACACAUAUUUCCAAAGGUAACAGUGUUUGAAGGGGAGGGGGAGAGCCAGUUAGGGGCAGAGUGUAGGAAAAAAGGUCAAGGUGGAGGGCUAUCAAGAGAGCUGGAGAACCAAGGGGCACACAGUAUACACAGGACUUGCCUUCCCCUCCAACACAAAAGACCAGCAAAUGAGGCAAGCUCUUGCAUUAUAGUGAAUAAUCAAGAAAGCAACUCCUUAAAGCGACGCUGGAAUGUCGGGAGAAAAGAGUUUUAAGAGGAGCACUGGACAGAGAAUGAGAGCUGAGUUCCAGUCUAGCUGUCCCACAGACAAGCUGCAUGGACCUGUUUGUUACCCAACCUUUUCAAGCUUUCAACUUCAUCUAUGAAGGAACGGUUUGGACUAGAUUUACAAAGUCCUUUCCAGGUCUAAAAGGCUAUGAUUCCAUUUUAGGAGGUCUCUUGCUUCAGAGUUCAUCUAACUCAGGAAGAAUGUAAUCAAAAUACGGAGAGAAUGGUACACACCCAUGAUGUCAAUUCACUCAUUUUAAAAGGAGAACUUGACCGCCAAGCAGCGACAUUUGACCAGCUGACUUUCCUCACAGAAAAGCUACUCAGGAAGGCAAACCAAACCAUGAGGUUCCUCUGCGAGCCAGGGGAAUGAGUGGGCUAAUCUUACUGGCUCACCGUGGCCAGCUAAGUUCACCUGCGGUUCCCAAUUCCUCGAAACAGGACACUGUCUUCUAAAAAGCCCCGGUGUUGGUCUGUCCCUGUUGUGGAAUCACACCAAAGCCCUGCCCUUUAGACUCCUCUCUUAGACGCUGGGUGGGCAGAUCACAGCUCUUCGGAAACCACAAGCAAUGUAGAGGCUUACGUUUUCUUAGACAUUUGGAUCACCCAUUUUUAGCCAACUCUGCUUCUUUGUAGGUGGCUGAUCUCAUCCUACACUUGAGUCUUCCAAGUCUUGUUCUCGGGGCUUUGCAGGUAUCUUGGUGAGGCCUCUGGUUUUAGGUUCUGCUUUAACAUUUAUUAGCAUAAGACUUUAGGAAAGUUACUUCAAUUUCCUCAUCUAUCACGCUGACAGCUAACACCUGUCCUCCUCCCGAGCUUGCUCUAAGGAUGAAGCCUGUUAACACAAUAAAGCUUUUUGAGAUUUGGGGAAAAAAAAGAAAAGGAUCAUGUAAAUGCAAAAUGAAAUAAUUUUUCAAAGCAAGAUCUCCGUAAAACAAUAGUUGCAACAGGGAAAGAGAAGCUGACGUCACAGCUGGCCCCAGAAACCUGCACACAAUCUACAGUCUAUACGGUCUACCCAGGAGCCCACGGUCCAUUAUUGAUGGGCGUGUGGUUCCAUCUGGUCCAAGAACCACCACCCUGAAAUAUCCUUCAGUAUCUUGAUCAUUUUUUUUUUUAAGAUUUUAUUUGACAGAGAGAGACAGCGGGAGAGGGAACACAAGCGGGGGGGGAGGGUAGAGGGAGAAGCAGGCUUCCCGCAGAGCAAGGAGCCCAAUGCGGGGCUCGAUCCCAGGACCUCGGGAUCAUGACCCGAGCUGAAGGCAGACGCUUAACGACUGAGCCACCCAGGCGCCCCAAAUAAAUAAAAUCUUAAAAAAUAAAAAAGAGGGGGGACUUCCUUAGUCACUGCUUUUGCCACCAGGCUGCUUAAGGGGUAGCAGGAUUUUACUUUUGUUUGGAUGUUCAGUCUCCAGCAUCACUGUUGCAAGGAUAUCACAUGGUAACAGGUUCCCCAUUCUGAUUGCAAACCUGGCAUCUCAUUGACCAGCCCAUCCAUUCCACUCCUGUAUCAGAGCAGGAAACACCCUGGAAGGUUCUUUUCUCCUCUCACACAGACACAAGACUCACCUGACCGACAGGUCCUUCUUCCCUGGGGUGCCCUUAUACAUAUCCCCGCGCUGACGACCAGGAGCUGGGCACAGGCGUACUGGUACUUAGGAACGGGAAGGGCGCUGGGAGGCCUCGGGUGUUCACAUUGCCUGAAAGCCGGCCUCACGCCUGGCACUGAUGCAGCAUUUGCGUGCCGCCCCGUGGGGCUGGUGCAGGGGGGAGCUGGUCCUGUGCCCUCGUGGGCCCUCCAUCUCUUCCCCUCCCCUCCCCGUGCUCCGCAGAGCACACCCCACCCCCAAGAAGUAGGCCUGCGUUUGGUUCUCCAGCACCUGGGGACUUGUCUCUUCCACUAGAAAAAGUAUGAAAAGUGUGUGUGUUGUUAACAGAUUCCUGUGGCGUGUCCCUUUGUCCACUGGGGGGCGCUGUCUUAGAGCCUGACCUGGGAGCAAGGCUGACCCAGGAUCCGGUCCAAGCUCUAUUCUGCCGAGCUCUGGUUACUUUGGCUUCCGAGCCUCAACUUCCUCAUCUGUAAAAUGGGCACACAAUACCCAUCCAGAAGGGUAUACCUAAAGCAUCAAGCACAGUGCUUGGCCAAACAGGCAGGCGUAAACAUGGGGCUUCCUGGAAUGAGGACUUCUUUUUGCUCGUUUGACUUUUUAAAAAACCACCUUCCUAAUUGUGUUGAUCAAUUUGUAUUUAUGAUAACAUAAAAUUGACUUUGUUUAUAGAGUUUUCACGAAGUCUCCAAACUAGAGCUGAGUCCCAGCACUAGCUGCCUAAAGUGUGACCUGCCAGAGGCCCUUGUGGCACCAGCCAUGGGAGGUAGGGAGGGGGACCAAGGGACCAGCCUCUCCUCACCCCCACUCCUUGGGAGGCAGCAAACUUUUUCUGUAAAGGGUCACAUAUAGUAAAUAUUUCAGGCUACCGUCCCUGUUGCACCUACCUAACUCUACGGGCUAGCGGGAAAAUAGCUACAGAUGAUAUGUAAGGGAAGGACUAUGGCUUUUUCCAGUUAAACUCUGCCCAAAUAAGCUGCGUUAGAAUCACCUGGGGGUUGCUUGAAACCUGAUCCCUGGGCCCCACCUCCAGAGUUUCUGAUUCAGUGGGUCUGCGGCGGAGCCUGUCCCAGCAUUUCUAACUUCCCAGGUGAGGCUGGUGCUGCCGGUCUGGGAACCACUCUGAGAACCACCAUAGCCGCUCCCACUCCCCUUCUUCUCUGGGCACCUAAAACACUUUAUUCCUGCUGCGAAUAUAGCAUUCAUUAUGUUAUAUUAUGGUUAGUGGUCAGUGUGGGGGUCUCCAGAAUCCUUUUUUUUUUUUAAUUUUUAAGUAAGCUCUACACCCAACGUGGGGCUUGAACUCAUGACCGGGAGAGCAAACAUAUUACCGACUGAGCCAGCCCGGGGCUCCUCUGGGAUCUUUCCUUAAUCACCUUCCUAUUCUGGUGCCUGACAAUAGCAGCUGCUGAUCAUUUAGUGAAUUCAAGGGAGGGUCACAGCCAUUGAAGCCCCAGGUCCCUCCCUGCUCCUUGGUGGACAUUUCUGUCUGGAGUUCUGCGCAGCCUGGCCCUGCCCUGCCACAGAGACGAGGAAAAGGGACUUUGUCUCGCUGCCUGUCCAGAAACAGACCAGGAAAGGAGACACUCCCUGCUCACACUAGACCUUGAACCUGGACUAUUUCCUAAGGAAAUAAAACGAGGGAGGGUGGGGGUUGGUUUGCUUAAUUUUGUUAUUAUGAUCAUCAUUAUUAUUUUGCUUCUAAAUGGAUUGUUUAAUUUGUAAGGGGGCCAGGGUUACAUCCAGAUGGGUGUUUGCUGUGGAAAACCACUAUUUCUGAGUUACACUAAGAGGGCAUUUAAAACGAACUGCAGCCACAGCUUUUUCUCAGAUCGGACAGAAUCAAGUUUGGUCUUGAUAAAAAGGAAUAAUAUUAGAGACCUUUCCAUAUCUCGAGUAGCUCGAGUUUCAGCAACUCCUGGCUCCACCUCCCUCUCCUGGAACUCACUGCCUCCCUCCUGGUUUUUACCCCAAGGACCUCUGCAAGAGGCAGGCGUGGAAGGGAGCGCGCUUCCCCCUCCCCCCUUUGCGGAGGACGUAUCGGCAGGAGCUGCGCAGAGAUAGGGCUGAACAGUGGGGUAACGGGGAUAAUCCUAGUCAUGGGCUGGCUGCAAACAGCAGAUGUGACAAUAACCUCCCUCUUUCCGAUUCCCAGGCCUGUCGGAGGGAGGCUUACACAGGAUUUUCUUUGGUCUGUGAAGUUUCAAGACCAUCCCUACCUAAGUUCUGUCCCUCACUCUCUCCUUUCCAAAUUAAUAGACAAAGCCAGGAGUCAGGACUCCUUCCCUUCCCCAUCUCCAUGGGCUCCCUGAACACCGCCCAAGGUCCAGACAACAUUUGCUGCCCCUCUGGACUGUAGUGUGCUCAGCGAGGACCCAGUAAGCCGGAGCACGGCAAGUCCCCAUGGCAAAGGAGCACGACUGACCCCAGCGUGGCUGAGACUCCUUCUGCUCGGCCCUGUCCCUGCCACCUCGUUACCUCUGCCUGUCAAUCCAUUUUGCAUCAAUAAACUUUAUGUUCAGGGCCUUGCAGAAUGAAUCAAAGGAGAGCAGCUAAGACUGAUCUCUGACCUUGGCACAUAAACAGCCUGCAGAUUGGACUUGACAGUUAAUAAAGGAAAGGCCCCGCAAUUCUCGGAUGCCUCUUUGCCUUGAUUAGAUUGAGCGUUCAUAAGCUAUGGGGAAAUCUUCAGUUUGAAGAGAAAGACCCCACAAGGCAGGCAGUCACAUCCCCACUCAUUCAUUCAUCCGUUCAGACUGUCAGUCCCUUGUCAACAGACAGGGACUUGUCAAGCGACCUGUUACCUGCGCCCAGUGCUGUGCGAAGGCUUUCAAGGAAAGGGCUACAGGAGCUCCAGCGUCCACCCUGUGCUCUCCCGGAACCCAGCCGCUGGCCAGGCCGUCGAGCACACAAGCUUUGGUGCAGACACAUCUGAACUUGAAUCCUGAAUUCUGCCAGGUGGCCUUUGGCAAGUUAUUUAACCUCUCUGCCCUUGGUUUCCUCUUGGGGUUAAUAAUGCCAACCGCCAAGGGCUGUCAUCAAGACUAAGUGAGACCAUCUGCACAAAGCAUUCGGCACAGAGCUGGGCACCCAGCAAGCACGCCAGAAAUGCACUUCCCAGGACGGUGCCCUUGGUGCCCUUGGCUCGCCGGCCGGCUCUGGGGGGUAGGGGGUGGGGCUCAGCCGGUCGCAGGGAGCCGGUGAUGACAUCCCCGGUCUCUGCCCUCAAUGAUCCUGGAGGCGACUGGGGACUGCUCUUAGUUCCUUCAUCUCUAAAAUGGGGCAGAGGUGGUGAUCCCCCGAGAGGAUCUGGAAAGAGCAUUAGCGCCUUGCUGGGGAAGGGCCUGUGGGAAUAUUGAGUUCCAGCACAGCCUUUGGCUUUGUCAUCCCUGCCACCGCAGCCCUGCGGGCUGUCUUUACUAAUAGAUAUUUUAAAAUUCCCGAACCCACUUCAUGCUAUAUUAGCUAGCACGCAGAGGUUUAUUCAGUGUUAAUCACAUUAAUCUGCUGUUUCAUUUCACGCUGUGUGAUGCCAACUUCAGUGAGAGCCAGGAGAGCAGAAUUUACUCUCAAAGGGCUUCGUGCUGUGUUCACCCAAACGGCGCCUCGUCAAGGCAUCUCAGAGGCCCAGGGACCUCUGGGCCACCCCCGCACCCCUCAGGGGAGCCCCGAAGCCUUACACAGUCUGCCUUUCAAGUGUCUCUCCGUAUAUAUUAGUUUUUACCCUCAAUUAGAAAUCUUGUAGGCAAGCGUCCAGUUUUUACUAGCUAUCUCUAAUUCUUAAACAAUGCAAACACAUGCUAUUCAGUAAAAGCUCCCCAGCAGGUGCCUGUCACAAAGGGACUCUGAGCAUACUGGAGUUUGGAGGGUCCUUUGAGAUCUCCCAGUAGGACCCCCUCACGUUACAGACGGAAAAACUGAGGUGUAAGGACUUGAAUCUCUCCUCUCUUGGCUCCUUCCUUAAGCCAAUGAAUAACCUUCAUUCAGAUCUUAAACACAAAACAACACAUUUGCCAGUUUUUUCUUGGCCCUGCGCCCCAAUCUGCUUGAACCUCCCACUUGCCCUUGGGGUCCUGUCAGCCAGCUGCCAGCCCCAGAUCCUACUUGCUGAGGAAAAUGGAAGCCAUCCGACAGGAACAUGUACCACCAGUGACCCCGUGGCCCAGCCCAGCACGGAACAGUGUCCCCCCAGGGCCACAGGCUGCCCUCCGUGUGCUGGUGGCCCUCCGCCACCUGCCUACCCAAGGACCUUGUCCCGCACCUCUCACCCCAUUCUUACUUCACCAAUUUACCUUUCCAUGGGAUCAUUCCUCUCGACAUACGCACAUGCUCUCAUUUAAAAAAAAUUUUUUUUUCAUUUUUAAAAAUUGUGUAUAAAAUCCUGCCUUGACCUUGCAUCCUCCUCCAGCUGUGCCAUUUCUCUCCUUCAAAAUCCUGCAGUUUCCCUUUCCUCAUCACCUGCCGCUCACUUUUUCUAAGUUGCUUUUUUCCCUUUUUUUUUCUUUUUCCUUUUUUUAAAGGUUUUGUUUUGUUUUGUUUUUUUAUUAGAGAGAGAGAGCACAAGUAGGGGGAGCGGCAGGCUCUCCGCUGAGCAGGGAGCCCAAUGCGGAGCUCGAUCCCAGGACCCUGAGAUCAUGACCUGAGCCGAAGGCAGACGCUUGAGCACCCAGGCGGCACCCCCCCACCAGUAUUUUUUCUAGGAAAAACAUAAGCCUACAGCAAAGUUGAAAAGUAUUAAAGUACCCUCGGCCUAGAUUUUCCCCAAUUAGCAUUUUGCCACAUUUGUUUUCCUUUUCUCUAAGAGAUAAUACACCUAUAUAUAGUACAUAAUUUAUAUAUAGGUAACAGAUGCAUAAAUGAGUAUAUAUAAAUUAUGUAUAUAAGUAUAUACAGGUGGGUAUGUUUAGUUUUGUUGUUAUUGUUGAAUCACUGGAAAGUUGCAGGGAUCCUGCUCCUUCACCCCUCAAUACUAUAAUAAAUACUACAAUGUGUGUCUCAUAAGAGCCAGGAUACUCUUACUUACUUAACCACAGAGCAUUAUUACAAGAAAUUGAAUGCUAGUACAAUAUUAUUUAACAUAAAGUCCGUUUUCGGAUUUCUCCAUUUGCACCAAAAAUGUCCUUCAUAAUGAUUUUUUAAUCCAGAUUCCAGUGAAGGAUGAGGCCCACCCCAAUUUAACUGCCAGAUUAAACCUCCACCCAGACCUUCCAAGGUCAGGUAACUUCAUUACCAAACCUAAAGGCUCUUUCUCUGGCCUCAAUGGGGGCUCAGCCAGGGCAGUCUCCUCUGGACUUCCAGGUUAGCACACAGUCCUUUACUCCCUCUUUCCUGCUCCUUCCCUUCUCUCAGUCCUCCCUCUGUCCUCUCCAGGCCUCUGUACUGGGCUCUCCUGUCCAGCUCCCAGGUGCUCUCAUCUAGGCCCAUGGCUUUAGCACCGGCUGCAGACGGAUGCCGCCCACAUUUCCAGCAUCCAGGGCCAACCCGGUCUAACCCAUCUCCCCAACUCCAGACUGAUGUACCCCACUGCCUUCUUCUCAGCCUCUCCCCUGGGACAUGCCACCAGCACCUCCAACCUGAGAUGUCCAAUUGGAAGCCUCCAUGUUUCCCUUCUUCCCCAUCUCAGUAACAGCAUCACCAUCACCUACCACCUGGUCCUGAAUCCACCCUUUCCUCCCCAGCCACGCCCUCCCUCCUGCGCCCCCCCCCCCCCCCCCCGCA